rnacentral:rRNA from 1 species
GACAGAGGGUGCAAACGUUGUUCGGAAUUACUGGGCGUAAAGCGCGUGUAGGCGGCUCGGAAAGUCGGAUGUGAAAGCCCUGGGCUUAACCUAGGAAGUGCAUUCGAAACUCCCGAGCUUGAGUUCUGGAGAGGAAGGUGGAAUUCCCGGUGUAGCAGUGAAAUGCGUAGAGAUCGGGAGGAACACCAGUGGCGAAGGCGGCCUCUGGACCAAUACUGACGCUCAUGCACGAAAGCGUGGGGAGCAAACAGG